UGCGCAGGCGGUUGUGUAAGUCAGAUGUGAAAUCCCCGGGCUUAACCUGGGAAUGGCAUUUGAGACUGCACGGCUAGAGUGUGUCAGAGGGGGGUAGAAUUCCACGUGUAGCAGUGAAAUGCGUAGAGAUGUGGAGGAAUACCGAUGGCGAAGGCAGCCCCCUGGGAUAACACUGACGCUCAUGCACGAAAGCGUGGGGAGCAAACAGGAUUAGAUACCCUGGUAGUCCACGCCCUAAACGAUGUCGACUAGUUGUCGGGUCUUAAUUGACUUGGUAACGCAGCUAACGCGUGAAGUCGACCGCCUGGGGAGUACGGUCGCAAGAUUAAAA
rnacentral:rRNA from 1 species